rnacentral:rRNA from 1 species
GCCUACGGCCAUACCGGACCGAAAGCCCCCGAUCUCCCGUCCGAUCUCGGAAGGUAAACCGUCCCGGGCCUGGCUAGUACUUGGAUGGGUGACCGCCUGGGAAUCCCAGGUGCCGUAGGCA